GCCUGGGUAGCUCAGCCUGGAUAGAGCGACUGCCUUCUAAGCAGUAGGUCGUGGGUUCAAAUCCCAUCUCGGGCA
rnacentral:tRNA from 1 species